rnacentral:rRNA from 1 species
UACGUAGGGUGCAAGCGUUGUCCGGAAUUAUUGGGCGUAAAGAGCUCGUAGGCGGUUUGUUGCGUCGGCUGUGAAAUCCCGAGGCUCAACCUCGGGUCUGCAGUCAAUACGAGCAAACUAGAGUGCGGUAGGGGAGAUUGGAAUUCCUGGUGUAGCGGUGGAAUGCGCAGAUAUCAGGAGGAACACCGAUGGCGAAGGCAGAUCUCUGGGCCGUAACUGACGCUGAGGAGCGAAAGCGUGGGGAGCGAACAGG